rnacentral:rRNA from 1 species
AUUGAACGCUGGCGGCAGGCCUAACACAUGCAAGUCGAACGGAUGAAGGGAGCUUGCUCCUGGAUUCAGCGGCGGACGGGCGAGUAAUGCCUAGGAAUCUGCCUGGUAGCGGGUGAUAACGUCAUGACACGGGCGCUAAUACCGCAUACGUCCUGACGGCGAACGUGGGGGAUCUUCGGACCUCACGCUCUCAGAUGAUCCUAGGUCGGAUUAGCUAGUUGGUGGGGUAAAGGCCUACCAAGGCGACGAUCCGUAACUGGUCUGAGAGGAUGAUCAGUCACACUGGAACUGAGACACGGUCCAGACUCCUACGGGAGGCAGCAGUGGGGAAUAUUGGACAAUGGGCGAAAGCCUGAUCCAGCCAUGCCGCGUGUGUGAAGAAGGUCUUCGGAUUGUAAAGCACUUUAAGUUGGGAGGAAGGGCAGUAAGUUAAUACCUUGCUGUUUUGACGGUACCAAAAGAAUAAGCACCGGCUAACUUCGUG